rnacentral:rRNA from 1 species
UACGUAGGGUGCUAACGUUGUUCGGAAUCACUGGGCAUAAAGAGCGCGUAGGCGGUCUGAUAAGUCAGUUGUGAAAUCCCCCGGCUCAACCGGGGAACUGCAACUGAUACUGUCGGGCUUGAGUGCGGGAGGGGAGAGCGGAAUUCCUGGUGGAGCGGUGAAAUGCGUAGAUAUCAGGAGGAACGCCGGUGGCGAAAGCGACUCUCUGGUCUGUUACUGACGCUGAGGCGCGAAAGCUAGGGGAGCAAACGGG